GACGAACGCUGGCGGCGUGCCUAAUACAUGCAAGUAGAACGCAGUUGCGAACGGGUGAGUAACGCGUAGGUAACUGCCUGGUAGCGGGGGAUAACCAUUGGAAACGAUAGCUAAUACCGCAUACUACCAGAUGGACCUGCGUUGUAUUAGCUAGUUGGUGAGGUAACGGCCCACAAAGGCAAUGAUACAUGGCCGACCUGUGAGGGUGAUCGGCCCACCUAGGACUGAGACCCGGCCCAAACUCCUACGGGAGGCAGCAGUAGGGAAUCUUCGGCAAUGGGGAGAACGCUGACCGAGCAACGCCGCAUGAGUGAAGAAGGUUUUCGGAUCGUGAAGCUCUGUUGUUAAGGAAGCGGUACUUAAACAGAAAGGGACGGCUAACUACGUGCCAGCAGCCGCGGUAAUAC
rnacentral:rRNA from 1 species